rnacentral:pre_miRNA from 1 species
GAAGAACUGAGAUCGAUUGGUGCAUAGAUAUAAAGAGGACUCGCUAAUUUUCAACUCUAGCACCAUUCGAAAUCAGUGCUUU